CGUCCCCAUUCUCCCUUCGAAGGCCUGGGUUGAGGCCGGGGUACACGUCUGAGUUGAGUGGAGAAUUGGAAUCCCGCGGGGCUUUAGCGGGUCUCGCGAUAUGCCUGGCUGAUUCUCCGGGGGCGGGGCCAAAGAGGAAGUGCCUCAGAGAGGAGGCGAGGCCGAGCCGGGCCUUUUGGGGGAAAUAGGAGAAGGACUUUCCCAUCUGCCGCCGAAGGACAACAGUCUGACAGGGUAGGCUGGUCCAGAGAGGAGGCGAGACGACAUUUGAUGACGUCAGAGAUUGCGCAGUAAAUGUUCACAAAAACUGCAAGAAUCUUCUGCCUGAAUGCAGCAGCAGCAGCAGAUCCAAGCAAAGGGAUUUGCAACUCCGGCCCCCAGGCUCCCCCCCUAGUUUACUCCAGAGUGCCAGCCCAGGUUUGUAUAAUUUUUUUUCUUGUUCUGGUUUU